CCGGAAAUGUACUUAGGAAACAAAAUGGCAGUUUUACCCGAUGGUUUUCAACCCAUCCAGCUCUUUCGUGUCAACUAAAAGAAAUUACCUGUUGUUAUAUUUGUUUUACGAACAACGACAUCACCAAUCAUAUUAUGCUUGCAAUGAAGACUUUAUUGACCGUAACUGCCCUGGUUUCUACCAGAAACGCGUUAAAGUGGGGGAAAGGCGACACCAUAUCUUCAACACUGACCAGCAGCUAAACCUGUUAUCAAAAGCAAAGACCUGGUACAUGGACGCUACCUUUCGAGUUAUCAACAAACCAUAUUCACUGAUGUUCUCGAUACACGCAUUCAUAAAAGCAGGAGAAACAACCAAACAGGUACCACUUGUUUUUGUGUGAUGUCGGGGAAGAGUCAAGAGGACUACUAUAAGGUUCUCCGUGCAGUUGAUAGGAUGUUGCCUAGUCAAAUUGAGUUGGAAGGAUUCGUGGUCGAUUUCGAGGCGGGGUUGUGGCAGGCCUUAAGGCAACGUUUUGGAGGUAUCAAGAUACAUGGAUGUGUGUUCCAUUGGACUCUAGCUGUCUUCAGAAAAAUUCAGGAAAAGGGAUUCCAGACAGUUUAUGAUGAAAAGGGGGAUGUUUUUAACUACCAAGUAGACUAAUGGCCCUCCCCUUCCUACCGGAAGAACACAUUGCUGGCAUGUUUGCCCAUCUAUACGAAAGGUGCCCGGAACUACAACCAAUCUUACAGUAUGUAGAGGAAACGUGGAUAACAUCGAAGCUCUUCCCUAUAGAGGAUUGGUGUGUUUUCAUGAAACCAGUUCGAACAAACAACGACGUCGAGGGUUGGCACAACCGACUUAAUUCACGGGUGAACGCCAGGGGUCCGGUGCCUUUUUAUCUAUUGAUAUGCGAAUUGUUUACGGAAGCAGAAAAUGUAAGACAUCCUUUUUUUCCCAAAAAAUCUUUUACUUAUAAUUGACUAUAUACAGCAACGAUUUUCUGUAUCAAUUCUAGAUGACAUUCUAAUUGAUUUGAUUCGUUCGUUCGUUCGUUUCUGGGGUUUUACGUCCACUUCCACCUAAGGUGAUAUCGUAGACAAGGAUGUUUCCUAAGAAACUUACUGGAGAAAGCCGUAUGGAUUAUGCUUUGGUCCAGUUUAAUUUGAGACAUAGUGUCUUAGCAGGGAAUGCCCAAGUUAAAAAUCUCAUCGAAAGGAGCGGAGAAAGUUUUGGGGUAGAAAAGGGGUGGCGAGCGGGCGCAGUCUGGUCCGCUUGGCCAUAAAU